AGAGUUUGAUUCUGGCUCAGGAUGAACGCUGGCGGUAUGCUUAACACAUGCAAGUCGUCGAAGAUCUUCGAUCUUAGUGGCGGACGGGUGAGUAACACGUGAGAAUCUGCCCUUAGGAGAGAAUAACAGCUGGAAACGGUUGCUAAUACUCUAUAUGCCGAGAGGUAAAAGGAUUUUCCACCUUAGGAAGAGCUCGCGUCUGAUUAGCUUGUUGGUGAGGUAAUGGCUCACCAAGCGACGAUCAGUAGCUGGUUUGAGAGGACGACCAGCCACACUGGGACUGAGACACGGCCCGACUCCUACGGGAGGCAGCAGUGGGGAAUUUUCCGCAAUGGGCGAAAGCCUGACGGAGCAUACCGCGUGAGGGAUGAAAGCCUGUGGGUUGUAAACCUCUUUUCUCAAGGAAGAAUUUGACGGUACUUGAGGAAUAAGCAUCGGCUAACUCUGUGCCAGCAGCCGCGGUAA
rnacentral:rRNA from 1 species